GUACUCUCACACUCUCUGAUCCUUUGGGAUUCGGGGAGCGGUGGACUUGGGUGUUUGCUGCUUUCCUUGUGGCUCACCUCAAAUGCGUCAGUGCACCUCUUGGUUGGACAUAGUACGGCGUGAUAAGUGUCUUCGCCGGCACCUCGCAAGAGGGUGGUCAAUUGGGAGCUCUGUGCUUUCAAACCGUCUUCGGACAAUAUCUGACA
rnacentral:misc_RNA from 2 species